UCGGCGAGAGAGAGGAGAGAGACGCUGGCUCUGUGUGGACGGGGGUCCAGGGGGGUGUUCAACUCUCAGGUGAUUCAGAUGUUAGCGUUGGAAGGGAAAAACACUCAGUUAUGGUUCCUACUUUGGGAUCCACAGCUCUACGAAGGGAGUGUAAUGUCCACCGGGGCAGAGCAGCUGCUGCUGGUCUCAUCUGGGCUAUUUAUAAUCUCGACGGCCGCUCGGAGUACCCCUAAACACAAGACUCCUUGGAGAGCGCCGACACACCUGCCUGAACCUCAACCCUCGUUCGGACGCCUAACCCUCGUUAGGACCCAUAACUCUCGUUAGGACCCAAUACUCUUGGCAGGACACUGAACCAUCGUUAGAAAACACAACCCAGUUGGUCCUAGGACAGAUUGACACUGAAGAAGAAUUGCUAUUGAUUUGUACCCUGAUAUUCUGAUAUUCUUCUGGCUCAGUUGGAGAAGAUUGAUGUUCUAGAUAUUGUUUUGUAGUUUUGUGUUGUACGAGAGCUCACCAUUCCUCCAAACAAACCUCUUCCCCUCCAGCAUCCUUCAGACCGUAGCCUUUCAGGUUCUCCUCCCUUCCAGAUCUCCUCCACAGCGGAGCCACCAUCUGCAGGAACACAAGAAGACAAGAAGGUUGAGCCGGUGUAGGGAAGCAGCCCCUCAAUUCCAGGAGACGGAGGUGACCUACCUGGCAGUAGUGGAGGUGAAGAGCCCUGGGUUGAUGAGUCCUGGUUUGAAGAGUAGUAAUGCUGGAAUCUGAACCCUGGUGAUCUCAAUGCUGAUAGGCGUAUUUUACAUACUGCUACGUUACCGUGAGGGACUACGGAGCCCUCGGUUCCAUCCCCUUCUGGGGUCUCGACCUUAAACUACAAAGCAACACAUAACCCAAACAGCAGGGCAGUGCCACCACUAAUGGAACCACGCUACUACAACCACUGUUUCUGACUGGCGCAAACUGCUGCGAAUGAGAUCAUCUGGUCCCGUUAUAGCUGAUCAGAAAAGGUUGCUGGUGCCAGCUCUUGGGAUGACGCGCAGUGAUUGGUUAAGACUUGGAGCAGAAGAUGUUCUUCACUGCAUGGUGACAACACAGGACUACCAAACAAGGGGACCGUAAAACAUUUGUUUUUAAUCUCAAGAAUAAAACAAAAUACAUUGAAGAGAUAUUAUUGUUCUACAGUUCUUCAAAUAAAGGACAAUGUUGACCAACUUAAGAAGACAUGUAGUCAUGAAUUCAAAUCUUUACAUCAAGGAAUUCCAACUGCAUUUAGACAUUUCCUUGGCAUCUUCUCUUUUAGAGAA